UACGAAGGGGGCUAGCGUUGCUCGGAAUUACUGGGCGUAAAGCGUGUGUAGGCUGCUACAUAAGUCGGAUGUGAAAGCCCCGGGCUCAACCCGGGAAGUGCACUCGAUACUGCGUAGCUUGAGUCUCGGAGAGGUUGGUGGAAUUCUCGGUGUAGAGGUGAAAUUCGUAGAUAUCGAGAGGAACACCGGUGGCGAAGGCGGCCAACUGGACGAAGACUGACGCUGAGACACGAAAGCGUGGGGAGCAAACAGG
rnacentral:rRNA from 1 species